rnacentral:lncRNA from 1 species
CCCCUCCCCACCCAUUUCACCACCACCAUGACACCGGGCACCCAGUCUCCUUUCUUCCUGCUGCUGCUCCUCACAGUGCUUACAGCUACCACAGCCCCUAAACCCGCAACAGUUGUUACGGGUUCUGGUCAUGCAAGCUCUACCCCAGGUGGAGAAAAGGAGACUUCGGCUACCCAGAGAAGUUCAGUGCCCAGCUCUACUGAGAAGAAUGCUGUGAGUAUGACCAGCAGCGUACUCUCCAGCCACAGCCCCGGUUCAGGCUCCUCCACCACUCAGGGACAGGAUGUCACUCUGGCCCCGGCCACGGAACCAGCUUCAGGUUCAGCUGCCACCUGGGGACAGGAUGUCACCUCGGUCCCAGUCACCAGGCCAGCCCUGGGCUCCACCACCCCGCCAGCCCACGAUGUCACCUCAGCCCCGGACAACAAGCCAGCCCCGGGCUCCACCGCCCCCCCAGCCCACGGUGUCACCUCGGCCCCGGACACCAGGCCGGCCCCGGGCUCCACCGCCCCCCAAGCCCACGGUGUCACCUCGGCCCCGGACACCAGGCCGGCCCCGGGCUCCACCGCCCCCCCAGCCCACGGUGUCACCUCGGCCCCGGACACCAGGCCCGCCCCGGGCUCCACCGCCCCCCCAGCCCACGGUGUCACCUCGGCCCCGGACACCAGGUCCGCCCCGGGCUCCACCGCGCCCGCAGCCCACGGUGUCACCUCGGCCCCGGACACCAGGUCGGUCCCGGGCUCCACCGCCCCCCAAGCCCACGGUGUCACCUCGGCCCCGGACACCAGGCCGGCCCCGGGCUCCACCGCCCCCCCAGCCCACGGUGUCACCUCGGCCCCGGACACCAGGCCGGUUCCGGGCUCCACCGCCCCCCCAGCCCACGGUGUCACCUCGGCCCCGGACACCAGGCCGGCCCCGGGCUCCACCGCCCCCCCAGUCUACGGUGUCACCUCGGCCUCGGAGAGCAGGCCGGACCCGGGCUCCACCGCGCCCGCAGUCUACGAUGUCACCUCGGCCCUCGGAGAGAAGGACGGACCCGGGCUCCACCGCGCCCGCAGCCCACGGUGUCACCUCGGCCCCGGACACCAGGCCGGCCCCGGGCUCCACCGCCCCCCAAGCCCACGGUGUCACCUCGGCCCCGGACACCAGGCCGGCCCCGGGCUCCACCGCCCCCCCAGCCCACGGUGUCACCUCGGCCCCGGACACCAGGCCCGCCCCGGGCUCCACCGCCCCCCCAGCCCACGGUGUCACCUCGGCCCCGGACACCAGGCCCGCCCCGGGCUCCACCGCGCCCGCAGCCCACGGUGUCACCUCGGCCCCGGACACCAGGCCGGCCCCGGGCUCCACCGCCCCCCAAGCCCACGGUGUCACCUCGGCCCCGGACACCAGGCCGGCCCCGGGCUCCACCGCCCCCCCAGCCCACGGUGUCACCUCGGCCCCGGACCCCUGCCGGCCCCGGGCUCCACCGCCCCCCCAGCCCAGUUUUCCAACCCCGGACACCAGGCCGGCCCCGGCUCCACCGCCCCCCCAGACACCAGGCCGGCCCCGGGCUCCACCGCCCCCCAAGCCCACGGUGUCACCUCGACCCCGGACACCAGGCCGGCCCCGGGCUCCACCGCCCCCCCAGCCCACGGUGUCACCUCGGCCCCGGACACCAGGCCCGCCCCGGGCUCCACCGCCCCCCCAGCCCACGGUGUCACCUCGGCCCCGGACACCAGGCCCGCCCCGGGCUCCACCGCGCCCGCAGCCCACGGUGUCACCUCGGCCCCGGACACCAGGCCGGCCCCGGGCUCCACCGCCCCCCAAGCCCACGGUGUCACCUCGGCCCCGGACACCAGGCCGGCCCCGGGCUCCACCGCCCCCCCAGCCCACGGUGUCACCUCGGCCCCGGACACCAGGCCGGCCCCAGGGCUCCACCGCCCCCCCAGCCCACGGUGUCACCUCGGCCCCGGACACCAGGCCGGCCCCGGGCUCCCCCCCCCCCCCAGCCCACGGUGUCACCUCGGCCCCGGAGAGUUCCGCCCCGGGCUCCACCGCGCCCGCAGCCCACGGUGUCACCUCGGCCCCAGAGAGCAGGCCGGCCCCGGGCUCCACCGCGCCCGCAGCCCACGGAGUCACCACGGCCCCGGAAAGCAGUUCUGGCCCGGGCUCCACCGCGCCCCCAGCCCACGGUGUCACCUCGGCCCCGGACACCAGGCCGGCCCCGGGCUCCACCGCGCCCGCAGCCCACGGUGUCACCUCGGCCCCGGAGAGCAGGCCGGCCCCGGGCUCCACCGCGCCCGCAGCCCACGGUGUCACCUCGGCCCCGGAGAGCAGGCCGGCCCCGGGCUCCACCGCCCCCCCAGCCCACGGUGUCACCUCGGCCCCGGACACCAGGCCGGCCCCGGGCUCCACCGCCCCCCCAACCCACGGUGUCACCUCGGCCCCGGACACCAGUCCCGCCCCGGGCUCCACCGCCCCCCCAGCCCACGGUGUCACCUCGGCCCCGGACACAAGGCCCGCCCCGGGCUACACCGCGCCCGCAGCCCACGGUGUCACCUCGGCCCCGGACACCAGGCCGGCCCCGGGCUCCACCGCCCCCCAAGCCCACGGUGUCACCUCGGCCCCGGACACCAGGCCGGCCCCGGGCUCCACCGCCCCCCCAGCCCACGGUGUCACCUCGGCCCCGGACACCAGGCCGGCCCCGGGCUCCACCGCCCCCCCAGCCCACGGUGUCACCUCGGCCCCGGACACCAGGCCCGCC